CACGGCCCAAACUCCUACGGGAGGCAGCAGUGGGGAAUAUUGCACAAUGGGCGCAAGCCUGAUGCAGCGACGCCGCGUGAGUGAAGAAGUAUCUCGGUAUGUAAAGCUCUAUCAGCAGGGAAGAAAAUGACGGUACCUGACUAAGAAGCCCCGGCUAACUACGUGCCAGCAGCCGCGGUAAUACGUAGGGGGCAAGCGUUAUCCGGAUUUACUGGGUGUAAAGGGAGCGUAGACGGCGACGCAAGUCUGGAGUGAAAGCCCGGGGCCCAACCCCGGGACUGCUUUGGAAACUGUGUUGCUGGAGUGCAGGAGAGGUAAGUGGAAUUCCUAGUGUAGCGGUGAAAUGCGUAGAUAUUAGGAGGAACACCAGUGGCGAAGGCGGCUUACUGGACUGUA
rnacentral:rRNA from 1 species